rnacentral:tRNA from 1 species
AAGGAUUUAGGUUAUUAAAACUCCCAACCUUCAAAGUUGGCCAUAGAAGGCUAUUUCUAAGCCUUA